rnacentral:lncRNA from 10 species
AGUACAAAGGCUGUUUGAAUUGCUCAUUCUCGUUAUCUGAUUAAUCCGGUAUAAUUGAAGAUCAUCUGGUUUAUUCACAUAAGCAGAGGAUAGUCUUUCUCUGUGUGCAUGGCUGAAGAACUUCAACCUGCCUGUGAUGUAAAUGCCAGAGGAAGAAACCAAGGCCCAAACAAGAAAAGGAGUGAACAGCAAUAUUCCCUACGGUGCCCUUCACACUGAUGUAUGAACUCAAGACAGGCCCACUUCUCUGCAGAAGAAUGUCCUAAUAUCAAAAAUGUGUCUCUGAUGAAUGUUGGACCAAAGGGAGUAAACAGAACCCAAGACAUCUAACAAAAUGUUCCCCAGAAUUAAGAUGAACACCAAAGAGAAUAGAUAAUUUUAUGGAAACUAUGUUGGUGGGAUCCACUUCCAGCUGUGUGGCUAGCACUCUCCUCUGCUCCAUGAAAAUGUGCAUGAUGAGAUAAUGCAUACACCCCUUCAAGGAUCUGUUACUACAUAGUUUCCUGUACACCAGACCAUAAACUGGAUUAAUUGACAACAUAACUUUUCAAGUGUCUGCACACCUCAUUCCUCUUGGUCGUGAGACAAGAACUCAGAACUUGCUGAAAUGCAGAAGUGAAAGAGCAGUAUCACUCCAUCCUGCUGAACUACGGGAGUGAAGAAGCCACAGUAGGACUUUACUAGAAGUGAGGAUUGGAGAACAGAAUCUUUCCAAAAGGAACACCUCGAAUACUCACUUCAUCAAGUCUCUGCAGACCAAAACCCAUCUCUGCUAACCAUACCCAUCUUAAAGAUACAGGAACAACUGCCAUGUUGUGGAGAGAGCAGAAAACAGCAGGCAAUCUCCCAGCCCUGAGAAUGGCCUCCUCUUCCCAACAGCCAGCAGGAAGGCUGGAAUCUCAGUCCUACGACCAAAAGAAACUCUAUUCUAACAGGCCAAAUCAGUCUGGAAGAAGAUCUUAAGCUUCAGCUCACAGAUUCUCUGCCUGUGUCGUAUGGCUAUUGCCAGGGGAUGAACGAGGGUUGCUCUUCGCAAUUCAAGACUGUCUUUCCUACCCUCUUCAGUGCCUCUUGAUGUUAAAACCAGGUACUGUUAUCGCUCAUUUGAUUUUUGGUUCUUAUGAAGGUGGCGUUCUGUGUGAAUAGUUGUUUAGUUUCGUGUUCCUGUAGGGGGAGGGAUGGUCUUUAGAGGGAGUCUACUUAGCCAUCUUGCUCUGCCUCCUCUCCAGAAUCUCUUUCUUAAUCAAAUGCAGUAACUUCCUACAUUCCUCUGCUGUAUCCAGUCUUAUCUCCCAUGAAUCUGUUUAUACCGUAGCAGAGAAAGUGAUCUACCUUUUAAAAAACCUGACCAUGUUGCUGUCACCAAAACAUUCUAUUGUUUUUUAGCUCCUCCUCAUGUACAAAUUCUCAAACUUCUUAACAAUUUUCUUUCAUAACUUUGUACUUACUGAUCUAUGUCAACUUUUUUUUAAUCCUAGCUUUGCACUUUAUAUUUAACCACGCAGAACUCUUGUGAGACUGAGCCCUUAGCCUAUGAAAUCUGUCGCUAUCUCUGGAUAGAUACUUGUGUUGCUUCACCAAUACUGUGAUGUUUCUUGUCAUAAUUAUUUACUCUGUUCUUUUCUUCCUGAAAUGUCCUACAGUUUUCUUUAAUCAACUUCUCUUUAUCUUUUCUGUAUCAUAUCUAGUACCACUUCACAAUCCACAUUUCUGGUUCUCUCUCUAAUAACAU